rnacentral:rRNA from 1 species
UACGUAGGGGGCUAGCGUUGUCCGGAAUCAUUGGGCGUAAAGCGCGCGUAGGCGGCCCGGUAAGUCCGUUGUGAAAGUCAAAGGCUCAACCUUUGAAAGCCGAUGGAUACUGCCGGGCUAGAGUCCGGAAGAGGCGAGUGGAAUUCCUGGUGUAGCGGUGGAAUGCGCAGAUAUCAGGAGGAACACCGAUAGCGAAGGCAGCUCGCUGGGACGGUACUGACGCUGAGGCGCGAAGGCCAGGGGAGCAAACGGG